CCUACGGGAGGCAGCAGUGAGGAAUAUUGGUCAAUGGACGAGAGUCUGAACCAGCCAAGUAGCGUGAAGGAUGACUGCCCUAUGGGUUGUAAACUUCUUUUAUAAAGGAAUAAAACGAGGCACGUGUGCCUUUUUGCAUGUACUUUAUGAAUAAGGAUCGGCUAACUCCGUGCCAGCAGCCGCGGUAAUACGGAGGAUACGAGCGUUAUCCGGAUUGAUUGGGAUUAAAGGGAGCGUAGAUGGGUUGUUAAGUCAGUUGUGAAAGUUUGCGGCUCAACCGUAAAAUUGCAAUUGAUACUGGCAGUCUUGAGUACAGUUGAGGUAGGCGGAAUUCGUGGUGUAGCGGUGAAAUGCUUAGAUAUCACGAAGAACCCCGAUUGCGAAGGCAGCUUACUAAACUGUGACUGACAUUGAUGCUCGAAAGUGUGGGUAUCAAACAGGAUUAGAUACCCUUGUAGUC
rnacentral:rRNA from 1 species